rnacentral:lncRNA from 1 species
UUACUUCGACUCACCCGACCCAUUUCACUCCAUCUCCGUCUUCCUCCAUUGGCAUAACUCUCAAGACCCGUUUUCCCCUUCACGCGACCAGUUCACUUAUCCAUUUGUUCUCAAAGCAUUCUCCAAAUUGAAACAGAAAAGUUUUGGUAAACAUCUCAACGAGAUGGUUUACAAGUCCAGGUUUGAGUUCGACGAACCAGAUCCAGAGAGUUUCAUCCAGGCGACGAACCAGAUCUGGAGAAGAAACAACAGAGUUUCAUCGAGAUCCGACGAAGCUGGUUCGACGAACAAGAUCUGGAGAAGUUGAAGCUGGUUCCGGUGAUUUUGACGAGCCGGAGAAGUUGAAGGAUCGAGUUUGAAGAGGUUAAAAGGAAAAUGAUCCGACGAAGCUGGCUUUAAAAGCCGGACGCCUAACAUGGUUGAGGGAGUGGGAGCAGAAGAGUUCAUCUUCGGCAAACCAGAUCUGACGAAGCUGGUUCUAAAAGCCCUAUGGGCUGAACUGCAUAGCCAAUGCUUCGGUCAGGGAGUCAAUGAAUAAGAAUUUGGAGCUAUCACUGGUGGGGCACUCUUUAGGGAUGCUUUGUUGGUGGAAGAGAAGUCUUCAUCAAUGGCUAUUGCAAUAACCAAUAGCUGAACUGUAAAAAGUACUUGUGAUCUUUUUCAGCUGGACCAUGCAGAAGAAAACAAUCUAACUGGCCAACUAGAUUGCUAAUCAAUGUGAGGUUGCUAGCAGCAUAUUUUCAAGCAUCUUCAAUCACUUGGUAUUGGUGGUUGAUGUAGGUUGAGACAAAAGUCUAUUGCAGUAUUGUUGUUGCUGUUGCAGUUGGUGCAUCAUUUGUAGAUAGCAAUUGAUUAGAAGUUUAUGUAUUUAGUAUUUAAAGUGAAAAAUU